rnacentral:rRNA from 2 species
UCUUGGUCAUUUAGAGGAAGUAAAAGUCGUAACAAGGUUUCCGUAGGUGAACCUGCGGAAGGAUCAUUACCUAGAGUUUGUAGACUUCGGUCUGCUACCUCUUACCCAUGUCUUUUGAGUACCUUCGUUUCCUCGGCGGGUCCGCCCGCCGAUUGGACAACAUUCAAACCCUUUGCAGUUGCAAUCAGCGUCUGAAAAAACAUAAUAGUUACAACUUUCAACAACGGAUCUCUUGGUUCUGGCAUCGAUGAAGAACGCAGCGAAAUGCGAUAAGUAGUGUGAAUUGCAGAAUUCAGUGAAUCAUCGAAUCUUUGAACGCACAUUGCGCCCCUUGGUAUUCCAUGGGGCAUGCCUGUUCGAGCGUCAUUUGUACCUUCAAGCUCUGCUUGGUGUUGGGUGUUUGUCUCGCCUCUGCGUGUAGACUCGCCUUAAAACAAUUGGCAGCCGGCGUAUUGAUUUCGGAGCGCAGUACAUCUCGCGCUUUGCACUCAUAACGACGACGUCCAAAAGUACAUUUUUACACUCUUGACCUCGGAUCAGGUAGGGAUACCCGCUGAACUUAAGCAUAUCAAUAAGCGGAGGAA